CGCCCUUAGAGUUUGAUCAUGGCUCAGGACGAACGCUGGCGGCGUGCCUAAUACAUGCAAGUCGAACGCAGCUUGCUUUGGUAAGAUGAGUGGCGAACGGGUGAGUAACACGUGGGUAACCUGCCUAUCAGAGGGGGAUAACACUUGGAAACAGGUGCUAAUACCGCAUAGAUUUCUUUCGCAUGAAAAGAGAGGAAAGACGUACGUGUCACUGAUAGAUGGACCCGCGGUGCAUUAGCUAGUUGGUGAGGUAACGGCUCACCAAGGCCAUGAUGCAUAGCCGACCUGAGAGGGUGAUCGGCCACACUGGGACUGAGACACGGCCCAGACUCCUACGGGAGGCAGCAGUAGGGAAUCUUCGGCAAUGGACGAAAGUCUGACCGAGCAACGCCGCGUGAGUGAAGAAGGUUUUCGGAUCGUAAAACUCUGUUGUUAGAGAAGAAUAGGUAGGAGUGACUUCCUGCCAUGACGGUAUCUAACCAGAAAGCCACGGCUAACUACGUGCCAGUAGCCGCGGUAAUACGUAGGUGGCAAGCGUUGUCCGGAUUUAUUGGGCGUAAAGCGAGCGCACGCGGUUUCUUAAGUCUGAUGUGAAAGCCCCCGGCUUAACCGGGGAGGGUCAUUGGAAACUGGGAGACUUGAGUGCAGAAGAGAGAGUGGAAUUCCAUGUGUAGCGGUGAAAUGCGUAGAUAUAUGGAGGAACACCAGUG
rnacentral:rRNA from 1 species